ensembl:rRNA 5S_rRNA 5S ribosomal RNA
AUCUAUGAUCAUACCACUCUGAACAUACUCAGUUUCAUCUGAUCUUUGACGUUAAGGAGGAUCAGGCCUGUUUAGUACUUGCAUGAAAAAAUAUACCUGGUCAGUGGAUU